rnacentral:rRNA from 1 species
GUACACGCUGUGACUAGCAUAUCAAUAAGCGGAGGAAAAGAAACUAACAAGGAUUCCCCUAGUAACGGCGAGUGAAGCGGGAAGAGCUCAAAUUUGAAAUCUUAAAGGGUUUCCCUUUACGAAUUGUAGUUUAAAGAAGUGUUUUCUGUUGAGGUUUUGGUAAAAGUUCUUUGGAAUAGGACAUCAUAGAGGGUGAGAAUCCCGUAUUUGACCUUUACUUUCAACUUUGUGAUACACUUUCAAAGAGUCGGAUUGUUUGGGAAUGCAGUCCAAAAUGGGUGGUAAAUUUCAUCUAAAGCUAAAUAUUGGCGAGAGACCGAUAGCGAACAAGUACCGUGAGGGAAAGAUGAAAAGAACUUUGAAAAGAGAGUUAAACAGUACGUGAAAUUGUCAAAAGGGAAGCGUUUGACACCAGUGUUGUUUUUCUGAAAAUCAAUUAAAGAACUGUUUAUGCUAAGCUGUUUAGACUUUAUCAGCUAAUCUGCUUAGUUUUGAGCUUUUCUUUAAUGCACUUUUCAGUUAACAAGUCAACAUCAAUUUCUUUUGCUGUAAAAAAGGCUUGAGGAAGGUGGCUUGAGAUUCGUCCUUAAGUGUUUAUAGCCUCUUGCCUAUGCAGUCGGAGAGAUUGAGGUCUGCAGCGUAGAUCCUUCGGGGCUAAAUGCAUUUGUGCUAAGUUAUAGCAUUUUAUAGACAACUUGUUGACUAUGAUUUGUCUUGUAGCUUACUCGCUUAUGUUAUUUUACCUACGCUUAGGAUGUUGAUAUGCAUGACUGAUAU